UAUGUCUGAAACUGUAAGGAGAACUAGAAUAACAAUGCUACCUUUUAAAGUUUCUGCUGUAGCACAAGAACAAGUGCCAAGAAAAUUUGUGUAUGAUGAGAGAUAAGCCUUUCCUUUUUUUGCUGGUGAGAGAUAAGUCUUUCCAGGAACCGAUAUGAAUUACUGGAGUUGGUAGUUCAUAAGGUUAGGAGUUCUUGUACCAGUUUCUUUCUAUAUACAGAGUACAAAACUCUGAACCUGUGUAGG
rnacentral:lncRNA from 1 species